CGUGGAUGAUGAAGGCCUUCGGGUUGUAAAAUCCUGUCAGAUGGGAAGAAGUGUAUCAUGGUUAAUAUCUGUGGUAUUUGACGGUACCAUCAAAGGAAGCACCGGCUAACUCCGUGCCAGCAGCCGCGGUAAUACGGAGGGUGCAAGCGUUGUUCGGAAUUACUGGGCGUAAAGCGCGCGUAGGCGGUUGUAUAAGUCAGAUGUGAAAGUCCAUGGCUCAACCAUGGAAGUGCAUUUGAAACUGUAUAACUUGAGUACUGGAGGGGGUGGUGGAAUUCCCGGUGUAGAGGUGAAAUUCGUAGAUAUCGGGAGGAAUACCGGUGGCGAAGGCGACCACCUGGCC
rnacentral:rRNA from 1 species